rnacentral:rRNA from 1 species
AGAGCGAACGCUGGCGGCAGGCUUAACACAUGCAAGUCGAGCGGGCGUAGCAAUACGUCAGCGGCAGACGGGUGAGUAACGCGUGGGAACAUACCUUUUGGUUCGGAAUAACCCAGGGAAACUUGGGCUAAUACCGGAUAAGCCCUUACGGGGAAAGAUUUAUCGCCAAAAGAUUGGCCCGCGUCUGAUUAGCUAGUUGGUGAGGUAACGGCUCACCAAGGCGACGAUCAGUAGCUGGUCUGAGAGGAUGAUCAGCCACAUUGGGACUGAGACACGGCCCAAACUCCUACGGGAGGCAGCAGUGGGGAAUAUUGGACAAUGGGCGCAAGCCUGAUCCAGCCAUGCCGCGUGGGUGAUGAAGGCCCUAGGGUUGUAAAGCCCUUUCGGCGGGGAAGAUAAUGACGGUACCCGCAGAAGAAGCCCCGGCUAACUUCGCGCCAGCAGCCGC